CAGUAGCCGCGGUAAUACGAAGGGGGCUAGCGUUGUUCGGAUUUACUGGGCGUAAAGGGCGCGUAGGCGGGCGAUUUAGUCAGGGGUGAAAUCCCAAGGCUCAACCUUGGAACUGCCUUUGAUACUGAUCGUCUUGAGUUCGAGAGAGGUAAGUGGAACUGCGAGUGUAGAGGUGAAAUUCGUAGAUAUUCGCAAGAACACCAGUGGCGAAGGCGGCUUACUGGCUCGAUACUGACGCUGAGGCGCGAAAGCGUGGGGAGCAAACAGGAUUAGAUACCCCGGUAGUCCCUGUCUCUUAUAC
rnacentral:rRNA from 1 species